rnacentral:rRNA from 1 species
UAAUACGUAGGGUGCGAGCGUUAAUCGGAAUUACUGGGCGUAAAGUGUGCGCAGGCGGCGCCGCAAGUCGAGUGUGAAAGCCCCGGGCUUAACUUGGGAAUUGCGCUCGAAACUAUGGUGCUGGAGUGUGGCAGAGGAAGGUGGAAUUCCACGUGUAGCGGUGAAAUGCGUAGAGAUGUGGAGGAACACCGAUGGCGAAGGCAGCCUUCUGGGCCAACACUGACGCUCAUGCACGAAAGCGUGGGGAGCAAACAGGAUUAGAUACCCUGGUAGUCCACGCCCUAAACGAUGUCGACUGGUUGUUGGGGGUUUGACACUCUCAGUAACGAAGCUAACGCGUGAAGUCGACCGCCUGGGGAGUACGGCCGCAAGGUUA